rnacentral:rRNA from 1 species
UACGUAGGUGGCAAGCGUUAUCCGGAAUUAUUGGGCGUAAAGCGCGCGCAGGCGGUUCUUUAAGUCUGAUGUGAAAGCCCACGGCUCAACCGUGGAGGGUCAUUGGAAACUGGGAGACUUGAGUGCAGAGGAGGAAAGUGGAAUUCCAUGUGUAGCGGUGAAAUGCGUAGAGAUAUGGAGGAACACCAGUGGCGAAGGCGACUUUCUGGUCUGCAACUGACACUGAGGCGCGAAAGCGUGGGGAGCAAACAGG